GCCUGGCUGGCUCAGUUGGCAGAGCCUGUGACUUUUGAUUUCAGGGUGGUGAGUUCAAGUCCCACGUUGGGUG
rnacentral:tRNA from 1 species